UACACUCCUACGGGAGGCAGCAGUGGGGAAUUUUGGACAAUGGGCGAAAGCCUGAUCCAGCAAUGCCGCGUGAGUGAAGAAGGCCUUCGGGUUGUAAAGCUCUUUUGUCAGGGAAGAAACGGUGAAAGCUAAUAUCUUUUGCUAAUGACGGUACCUGAAGAAUAAGCACCGGCUAACUACGUGCCAGCAGCCGCGGUAAUACGUAGGGUGCAAGCGUUAAUCGGAAUUACUGGGCGUAAAGCGUGCGCAGGCGGUUUUGUAAGUCUGAUGUGAAAUCCCCGGGCUCAACCUGGGAAUUGCAUUGGAGACUGCAAGGCUAGAAUCUGGCAGAGGGGGGUAGAAUUCCACGUGUAGCAGUGAAAUGCGUAGAUAUGUGGAGGAACACCGAUGGCGAAGGCAGCCCCCUGGGUCAAGAUUGACGCUCAUGCACGAAAGCGUGGGGAGCAAACAGGAUUAGAAACCCGAGUAGUCCCAU
rnacentral:rRNA from 1 species